CUACGGGUUGCUGCAGUGAGGAAUAUUGCACAAUGGGGGAAACCCUGAUGCAGCAACGCCGCGUGGAGGAUGACGCAUUUCGGUGUGUGAACUCCUUUUAUGAGUCAAGAAAAUGACGGUAGCUCAUGAAUAAGCACCGGCUAACUCCGUGCCAGCAGCCGCGGUAAUAGGGAGGGUGCAAGGUUACUCGGAAUCACUGGGCGUAAAGGACGCGUAGGCGGGUUGUCAAGUCAGGUGUGAAAUCCUACAGCUUAACUGUAGAACUGCACUUGAAACUGGCAACCUAGAGUAUGGGAGGGGGAGUUGGAAUUAGUGGUGUAGGGGUAAAAUCCGUAGAUAUCACUAGGAAUACCGAAAGCGAAGGCGAUCUCCUGGAACAUUACUGACGCUAAGGCGUGAAAGCGUGGGGAGCAAACAGGAUUAGAUACCCUUGUAGUC
rnacentral:rRNA from 1 species